UGAAAGGUCAUAAAGCAAUGGGGAGUUGAUCAGUAGCUGGCUGCUGCUUGGGAAUUGGCUGUGUAUAUGUUGAAUCUCCUCAUCUCCUACCAUACUUGUUGAUGCUAUUCAGCCAACUCUUUUAGUAAUGAACUGUCGCAUUUACAAGGCAUCCAUGGUGGCUACCAAGUUCUCCCUGCUUUCCAAGGCUGAGAGUAGGAGAAUGGAUCUGAGAUGAGGCCAUUAAGAUCAGCAGUGCCUGGCAAUAAAGCAGAACCAUGCACCCAGCAACACCUUUGAUCUCAACCAUAUGGAGCUCCUCCGUGCUCUUGAAAAAAAAAAAAAUUUCCCUUGCCUCCAAUCCAGGCCGAGAGAUACUGGGGCCCCCAGAUGGCCAAAUACCACUCAUGACUGCGACUUCAUUGACUAUUUUCUUUCCUGAUUGAUCCUGAUUGAAAAUAAAUAAAACAUGCACUUGGAACUGGAUGCAAAUUGGUGUCACAAGCUUUUGGUUAUGCCGAU